AACGAACGCUGGCGGCAUGCCUAACACCUGCAAGUCGAACGAAGCCUUCGGGCUUGGUGGCGCACGGGUGCGUAACGCGUGGGAAUCUGCCCUUUGGUUCGGAAUAACAGUUGGAAACGACUGCUAAUACCGGAUGAUGACGAAAGUCCAAAGAUUUAUCGCCAGAGGAUGAGCCCGCGUAGGAUUAGCUAGUUGGUGUGGUAAAGGCGCACCAAGGCGACGAUCCCUAGCUGGUCUGAGAGGAUGAUCAGCCACACUGGGACUGAGACACGGCCCAGACUCCUACGGGAGGCAGCAGUGGGGAAUAUUGGACAAUGGGCGAAAGCUUGAUCCAGCAAUGCCGCGUGAGUGAUGAAGGCCCUAGGGUUGUAAAGCUCUUUUACCCGGGAUGAUAAUGACAGUACCGGGAGAAUAAGCCCCGGCUAACUCCGUGCCAGCCGCCGCAGUAA
rnacentral:rRNA from 1 species